rnacentral:rRNA from 1 species
CCUACGGGUGGCUGCAGUGGGGAAUAUUGGACAAUGGGGGCAACCCUGAUCCAGCCAUGCCGCGUGUGUGAAGAAGGCCCUCGGGUUGUAAAGCACUUUCAGUGAGGAAGAACGCCUGGUGGUUAAUACCCAUCAGGAAAGACAUCACUCACAGAAGAAGCACCGGCUAACUCCGUGCCAGCAGCCGCGGUAAUACGGAGGGUGCGAGCGUUAAUCGGAAUUACUGGGCGUAAAGCGCGCGUAGGUGGCUUGAUAAGCCGGUUGUGAAAGCCCCGGGCUCAACCUGGGAACGGCAUCCGGAACUGUCAAGCUAGAGUGCAGGAGAGGAAGGUAGAAUUCCCGGUGUAGCGGUGAAAUGCGUAGAGAUCGGGAGGAAUACCAGUGGCGAAGGCGGCCUUCUGGACUGACACUGACACUGAGGUGCGAAAGCGUGGGUAGCAAACAGGAUUAGAUACCCUUGUAGUC